AAAAUGGACAUUGCACUACCUGAGGACCUAGCUAUACCUCUCUUGGGCAUAUACCCAAAAGAUGCCCCAACAUAUAACAAAGACACAUGCUCCAUUAUGUUCAUAGCAGCCUUAUUUAUAAUAGCCAGAAGCAGGAAAGAACCCAGAUGCCCUUCAACAGAGGAAUGGGUUCAAAAUAAUGUGGUACAUCUGCACAAUGGAGUACUACUCAGCUAUCAAAACAGUGACUUCAUGAAAUUCAUAGGCAAAUGGAAUGAACUAGAAAAUAUUAUCCUGAGUGAGGUUACUCAAUCACAGAAAAACACACUUGGUAUGUACUCAUUGAUAAGUGGAUAUUAGCCAAAAAGCUCGAAUUACCCAAUAUGUAAUCCACAGAUCACAGGAAGCUAAAGAAGAG
rnacentral:lncRNA from 1 species